CGCACUGAGAGAAGGUGAGAGAGGGUAAGAAAGGGAUGUAGUCAGGUAACGUUCCUGCACUGAGAGAAGGUGAGAGAGGGUAAGAAAGGGAUGUAGUCAGGUAACGUUCCCGCACUGAGAGAAGGUGAGAGAGGGUAAGAAAGGGAUGUAGACAGGUAACAUUCCUGCACUGAGAGAAGGUGAGAGAGGGUAAGAAAGGGAUGUAGUCAGGUAACGUUCCAGCACUGAGAGAAGGAGAGAGAGGGUAAGAAAGGGAUGUAGUCAGGUAACGUUCCUGCACUGAGAGAAGGUGAGAGAGGGUAAGAAAGGGAUGUAGUCAGGUAACGUUCCCGCACUGAGAGAAGGUGAGAGAGGGUAAGAAAGGGAUGUAGACAGGUAACGUUCCCGCACUGAGAGAAGGAGAGAGAGGGUAAGAAAGGGAUGUAGACAGGUAACGUUCCCGCACUGAGAGAAGGAGAGAGAGGGUAAGAAAGGGAUGUAGACAGGUAACGUUCCCGCACUGAGAGAAGGAGAGAGAGGGUAAGAAAGGGAUGUAGACAGGUAACGUUCCCGCACUGAGAGAAGGAGAGAGAGGGUAAGAAAGGGAUGUAGACAGGUAACGUUCCCGCACUGAGAGAAGGUGAGAGAGGGUAAGAAAGGGAUGUAGACAGGUAACGUUCCCGCACUGAGAGAAGGAGAGAGAGGGUAAGAAAGGGAUGUAGACAGGUAACGUUCCCGCACUGAGAGAAGGAGAGAGAGGGUAAGAAAGGGAUGUAGACAGGUAACGUUCCCGCACUGAGAGAAGGAGAGAGAGGGUAAGAAAGGGAUGUAGACAGGUAACGUUCCUGCACUGAGAGAAGGAGAGAGAGGGUAAGAAAGAGAUGUAGACAGGUAACGUUCCUGCACUGAGAGAAGGAGAGAGUGGGUAAGAAAGGGAUGUAGACAGGUAACGUUCCCGCACUGAGAGAAGGAGAGAGAGGGUAGGAAAGGGAUGUAGACAGGUAACGUUCCCGCACUGAGAGAAGGAGAGAGAGGGUAAGAAAGGGAUGUAGACAGGUAACGUUCCCGCACUGAGAGAAGGAGAGAGUGGGUAAGAAAGGGAUGUAGACAGGUAACGUUCCCGCACUGAGAGAAGGAGAGAGAGGGUAAGAAAGGGAUGUAGACAGGUAACGUUCCCGCACUGAGAGAAGGAGAGAGAGGGUAAGAAAGGGAUGUAGACAGGUAACGUUCCCGCACUGAGAGAAGGAGAGAGAGGGUAAGAAAGGGAUGUAGACAGGUAACGUUCCCGCACUGAGAGAAGGAGAGAGAGGGUAAGAAAGGGAUGUAGACAGGUAACGUUCCCGCACUGAGAGAAGGAGAGAGAGGGUAGGAAAGGGAUGUAGACAGGUAACGUUCCUGCACUGAGAGAAGGAGAGAGAGGGUAAGAAAGGGAUGUAGACAGGUAAC